UACGGGGGGAGCAAGCGUUGUUCGGAUUUACUGGGCGUAAAGGGCGCGUAGGCGGCGCGGUAAGUCACUUGUGAAAUCUCUGAGCUUAACUCAGAACGGCCAAGUGAUACUGCAGUGCUAGAGUGUGGAAGGGGCAAUCGGAAUUCUUGGUGUAGCGGUGAAAUGCGUAGAUAUCAAGAGGAACACCUGAGGUGAAGACGGGUUGCUGGGCCAACACUGACGCUGAGGCACGAAAGCGUGGGGAGCAAAAAGG
rnacentral:rRNA from 1 species